rnacentral:tRNA from 1 species
GAGAGAGGUCAUGAGACAGCAAAAACUGCUAAUUCUUGCCACCGCAGCUAAACUCCGCGGCUCACUCA